rnacentral:lncRNA from 12 species
AUGGCUCACCUGCUGUUCAAGGCUGGGCAGCCUGCACUUUUCCAGAAUCUUAUCUUCCUCCUCCCAUUGUUGCCACACAUGUGCCUUACCUCACGUGUCACAGGAGGUCCCAAAGGUCCUAGUCUUAUGAGCCUCCUCUCUUCCUUCUCACUGAGCCAUGGCCUGUGUCAUGGGGCACAGCUAAACAUCUCACUCAAUAUCCAACUCAACAAAGGAAAGGCGGGCUUUCAGACAGGGUCCCCCAGUGGUUUGGGACAGUGUGGUCAUGAGCCAUUGGAAGAAGACAAAGGAGCUCACUUAAGGGCUCACACACCACAUCUCGGGGACAGGCCACUGGGUGACAGCACAGGUGUGAUCUACAAGCAGCUGAGGACAAAGCCCCGGAGAAGUCCAGGUGACAGACAAUUCAGGAAUUUCUUCUGGGAGCCCCAAGGAUCCCUGUGCCCAGACUUCAGGAAGCAGGGUCAGAGCCAGCACCAGGAAGAAACACAAACUUCACUUGGAAGAGAUCUGGAGCCUUCCCUCGGUUCUUGGACCAUCUGUAAACAAUCUUGGGACAAAACUGUCUGAUACAAUUGGGCAAACUUUAAUGAGGGUCUUGAGACGAACAGAAAGCUCAGUCAGGAGCAAGAAGCCAGAAAGAAGGGACUGACAGGUGAUCACCAGGUUCCUGGGCCUGCUGCUCCCCAGGCCUGACAGGUCUUCUGCAAGCCAGUGCAUGCAGCCAGAAGCACAGUCCAUGUGCAGGCAAGCAGAUGGGCUUCGUGGACAAUGGCACAGCUGGAAAGCUCAGGAUGAUCCAGAAUCGAGGUCCCUGAGCAUGUGUAACUCCAUAAAAGUGAUGGAGAAGCUGUGCAAACCAACGGAGAGCAUCCUGCUAUGUCAACCUGCUGUCACAGCACCGAGUCAUUACUUAGGAAGGCUUCUCUAAAGCUUCGCCUGCUCAAAAAUAGGUCCAGCUGGUAUGCGAAUAGAGACCCUCCAACGGACAAUAUCUGUGAUAUUGUUGAGUGACACUUCAUCAACACAACACAGCAAAACUCUGUUCCUCAAAACUCCCAAGUAUUUGUCACAACCAAACGGUCUAUUCAUUUACUGGGAAGACUUAGGCGUAGGGACAUAUUUUAGGUAUAUUUGAUUUGGUCUCCUGCUUUUCUGAAAGGGAUGUUUGACUUUGUUUUUAAUACCAUUGCCCCGGGAGUUGGCAAGCUCUGGGCUCCAGUCUGCCCGGUAAGAUGAUGUGGGAUGAGGGCCAGCUUUUACCCUCCUAUCUGUGAAGUGGACAUGGAAUAGCACCUGUCUCCUAAGUCACAGAGACCCAUUGCUGCACCUGGAGAAUAGGAAACAUUAGUAACAGCUCUUGUGGUCUUACCUUCCAUCACAUCAUCUUACGUCACUCAUCCCAUCGCCCUACCUGGUCAUUUUGUACUCUGCUUGGGGGUCACUAAAAUAUCACUUCACAAGUGGCUGGAUCAGUCUUCUGGUCUGUAAUUAUUUCAGCAAAUGGUUACAGCAGAUUUCAUCUGAAUAUGGGUUCCAUCAGCUUAUAAGAGAAUAAAAGGUCAUAGUCUCCACUUUCA